rnacentral:rRNA from 1 species
UACGAAGGGGCUAGCGUUGCUCGGAAUUACUGGGCGUAAAGCGCACGUAGGCGGCUUCUAAGUCGGGGUGAAAUCCUGGAGCUCAACUCCAGAACUGCCUUCGAUACUGGAGAGCUUGAGUCCGGGAGAGGUGAGUGGAACUGCGAGUGUAGAGGUGAAAUUCGUAGAUAUUCGCAAGAACACCAGUGGCGAAGGCGGCUCACUGGCCCGGUACUGACGCUGAGGUGCGAAAGCGUGGGAGCAACAGG